UUAAAAAAUCUGAAGUAAGGUUGAAAAAAUUGUAAUUAAAAACAAAAAGGGGGAUACCUUAAGUUGAUUGUUGACCCAUUUAUAGAGAUUGUGACGGGCAACGACUGCCUAUAGGUGAUGUAGAGGAGACAUUGGCGCAACGUUUAGGAAAAUCUCCAGAGUGGUUUAUGUUCGAAAAUCUGAAUUUACGGUUAAAAAACUGAAAUUGUGAAAUUGACAAAAUGAGAUGAGGAAGGUAGGGCACUAAAAGUAAAGUUUGCAUCAAUUUGAAGAGAUUUUAACGGGCAACGACUAUAUAGGUAUUGUAGAGGGGACAUUGGCGCAUCGUGUAAGAAAAUCUCCAGAGUGGUUUAUGUUCGAAAAUCUGAAGUUACGGUUAAAAAACUGAAAUUGUGCAAUUGACAAAAUGAGAUUAGAGGGGUAGGGCACUAAUAGAAAAAUUUGGACCAAUUUCAAGAGAUUGUGACGGGCAACGACUAAAUAGGUGUUGUAGAGGAGACAAUGGCGCAUCGUAUAAGAAAAUCUCCAGAGUGGUUUAUGUUCGAAAAUCUGAAGUUACGGUUAAAAAACUGAAAAUUAAAUUGUGAAAUUGACAAAAUGAGAUUAGGGGGGUAGGUCACUAAAAGAAAAAUUUGGACCAUUUUAAAGAGAUUGUGACGGUCAACGACUAUAUAGGUGUUUUAGAGGAGACAUUGGCGCAUCGUUUAAGAAAAUCUCCAGAGUGGUUUAUGUUCGAAAAUCUGAAGUUACGGUAAAAAAACUGAAAUUGUGAAAUUGAGAAAAUGAGAUUAGGGGGGUAGGCAAAUUUAAGUUAAUUUUGGACCAAUUUCAAGAGAUUGUGACGGGCAACGACUAAAUAGGUGUUGUAGAGGAGACAAUGGCGCAUCGUUUAAGAAAAUUUCCAGAGUGGUUUAUGUUCGAAAAUCUGAAGUUACGGUUAAAAACUGAAAAAUUUUAUUGUGAAAUUGACAAAAUGAGAUUAGGGGGGUAGGGCACUAAAAGAAAAUUUUGGACCAUUUCAAAGAGAUUGUGACGGACAACGACUAUAUAGGUGUUGUAGAGGAGACAUUGGCGCAUCGUUUAAGAAAAUCUCCAAAGUGGUUUAUGUUCGAAAAUCUGAAGUUACGGUAAAAUAACUGAAAUUGUGAAAUCGACAAAAUGAG